CUAUUUAUUUUACUAUUAAUAGCGUACUAACAUAAUAUAUAGGGUUUUUUUUGCAAAUAGCCCUCUUACAAAUUUUUUUUUUAAAAUUGGCCUUAUCAAAAAUUUAUUUACAAAAAUGGCCCUGGUCCCGCCACGCAAGCACCACGUCAGCGCCACGCGGGCGGGGCUGGGCCAGAUGGUUAAGUUGAACACUGUGAAUCAUUCACCGUGUUCAAUAUAAAGUUCUUGUAUUGGACACGGUGAAUGAUGUGUCCAAUACAAAAUAGCUAAGAUCGAAAUAUUUGUAUUGGACACGGUGAACCAUUCACCGUGUCCAAUACAAAAAUUUUGUAUUGAACACGGUGCACCGUGUUCAACUUAAACACCUGGGCCCGCCCUGCCCGCGUGGCGCUGACGUGGCGCUGACAUGGCAGGGGCAGGGCUAUUUUUGCAAAUAAUUUUUGAACGGGACUAUUUUUACAAAUAAAAUUUGUCAGGAGGCUAUUUGCAAAAAAAAGUCCGAAUAUAUAUAUAUAUAUAUAUGGUAAAU
rnacentral:lncRNA from 1 species